rnacentral:rRNA from 1 species
CGGAGGGUGCAAGCGUUAUCCGGAUUCACUGGGUUUAAAGGGUGCGUAGGCGGGCAGGUAAGUCCGUGGCGAAAUCUCUGAGCUUAACUCAGAAACUGCCAUGGAUACUAUUUGUCUUGAAUAUUGUGGAGGUAAGCGGAAUAUGUCAUGUAGCGGUGAAAUGCUUAGAUAUGACAUAGAACACCAAUUGCGAAGGCAGCUUACUACACAGUUAUUGACGCUGAGGCACGAAAGCGUGGGGAUCAAACAGGAUUAGAUACCCUGGUAGUCCACGCCCUAAACGAUGAUUACUCGACAUUAGCGAUACACUGUUAGUGUCUGAGCGAAAGCAUUAAGUAAUCCACCUGGGAAGUACGACCGCAAGGUUG